GUGCUCGCUUUGACAGCACCUAUGCCAGAACUGGAAUGAUACAGAGAUUAGUAUGGCCCCUGUGCAAGGAUGACAUGGAAAUUCAUGAAGUAUACCAUAUUUUU
ensembl:snRNA U6 U6 spliceosomal RNA